rnacentral:rRNA from 1 species
GAUGAGCGCUAGCGGCCGGCCUAACACAUGCAAGUCGAGGGGUAGAACACUUCGGUGCUUGAGACCGGCGCACGGGUGCGUAACGCGUAUGCAAUCUACCUUGGACAGGGGAAUAGCCCAGAGAAAUUUGGAUUAAUGCCCCAUAGUAUAUAACCUUCGCAUGUUGGUUAUAUUAAAGUUCCAACGGUACAAGAUGAGCAUGCGUCCCAUUAGUUAGUUGGUAAGGUAACGGCUUACCAAGACGAUGAUGGGUAGGGGUCCUGAGAGGGAGAUCCCCCACACUGGUACUGAGACACGGACCAGACUCCUACGGGAGGCAGCAGUGAGGAAUAUUGGUCAAUGGGCGCAAGCCUGAACCAGCCAUGCCACGUGCAGGAAGACGGUCCUAUGGAUUGUAAACUGCUUUUAUACAGGAAGAAACAACUCUACGUGUAGAGUCUUGACGGUACUGUAGGAACAAGGAUCGGCUAACUCCGUGCCAGCAGCAGCCGCGGUAA